rfam:Aedes aegypti strain Liverpool supercont1.119 genomic scaffold, whole genome shotgun sequence.
CCUCUCAUGGCGUAGUGGUAACGCUCCCCAACUAGAGAUCGGGGAGUCGUGAGUUCGAUUCUCACUGAGAAGA